CUGAAAACCUGCUUCCUCUGUAUCUCACGUUACAAUCCUAACUCAUAUGCAAAUCUCUCCAACUGGCAUGAUUUCACCAAGGGCAGUUUGGAAUUGCAGUGACAGAGGAAGUUUGGAUGUGAACACAGUUGUUCAUCUGAGAGGCUCCAUAGAACGAGCAUUUAGUGAGUUGGGUUUCAAGGUCUUUUACAGUCUUUUGGAGCUCAGGCUCUAAUUGAUACAUAGUUAGGAUUUUAUAAAUUUAAAAUUCAAGAAAUUAAAAAAAUGAUUAACUUUCAAUGCUUUAAAUGUUUUGACUCUUCUAAAGAAAACUGUUUUUCUCCCCACAAUAGCUCCGUAAAAGAGUUGAUGGCAAAUGCUCUUUUUCCUGAAGUCUAUUUCAGAGGUUCCUGGCAAUCAUUUGGGGUUCUAAAUUUGAUUUAACCUCCACGACACCUCUGAAUGAAAUUUAAGGCUGAAAAACAUAGAAAUGGAAGUUUGGACACAUAUCAAUAAUUUUUGAUAGAACUUUACUCAGAGUUAAGUGCAUUGAGAGAACUAGAAACAAGAUUUGGAAAAAAGUGAAAAUUAUAGCCAAGACUAUGACAAGAAGCUACAGCAAAUCCAAUCACAGGGAGGUGGCCAGGCUCCAACCAGCGCACUAGCAACGGACGCCACGGGACACAACUGACCGUGUUCGUUUACAGAUUCACUUACAGAGUGAAUGUAAUCAGCAACAGCCAUUUAGAUAUUAGGAGAUGGGUUCCUUCCCCACACCCUCAAGGUUGAAAUGGUUUCACCAACUGCCGUCACCAACUCCAAGCAGACUGCUCCAAGCAGAGUUGAAAUGUCGUGAGUCUGAGGGACAGAGAAGAAGCUUGAAGAAUGAAUGAGAAGUAUCUAUGGAUUCAUUCUUAAGUGCAAUUGAGGCACUACUCUGGGAAACUGUAAUGAGGUAGUUUGUUUAUUUAUUCUUUUCAUUAGAGAAGCACAUACACAGAAGAAGAAAGAACUUCAUAAUAAUAUAGUAAAAUCCCAUCUGCCCACAUCAACAGUGAACAUUUUGGCAAUUUUCUUUCAUAUGUCACCCAUCUCCACUUAUUUAUUUAUUUUUUUUAAAUUUUGGUGAAAGGUUUGAAGUACCUAGCUUUGUUAUUUUCUUAAAAUUGUGAAUUUACUUUUUUAGAGUAGCUGUAAGUUCACAGCAAAAUUGAGAGGAAGGCAUGGAGAUUUCUCAUAAACUCCCUGCCCCUAUACGUACAUUGCCUCUCCCAUUAUCAACAUCUCCCAUCAGAGUGGUACGUUGGUUCCACUUGAUGAACUACCAUACACGUCACAAUCACCCAAAGUCCGUAAUUCACACUACAGUCCACUCAUGGUGUUGUGCAUUCCAUGGGUUUGGACAAACGUAUAACGACACGCAUCCAUCAUUAUGGUAUCAUACACAGUAUUUACGCUGCCCUAAAAAUCCUCUGUGUUCCACCUGUUCAUCCCUCCCCCUCCCCCAACCCCUGGCAAUCCACUGAUUACUUUGAUUUUCUGAAAAUGAAGAUAUGGAGGGGUUUUUUGCUUUAAUCCUGCUUGUUAUUCUCUAAGCUUCCUGGAUGUGCGGUUUGGUGUCUGCCAUUAAUUGGGGGAAAUUCUUGGUCAUUAUUCUUUCAAAUAUAUCUUCUGCUCCUUUCUCUCUCUUUUCUUUCUGGUAUUCCCAUUAUGUGUAUGUUACAUCCUUUGUAGUUGUCCCACAAUCCAUGGAUAGUGUAUUCUGUUUUUUUCAGACUGAAAAACUUUUGGUUUUCAAAGUUUCUAUUGGUAUGUUUUCUAGCUCAGAGAUUUUUCCUCAUGUGUUCUAUUUACUAAUGAACCCAUCAAAGACAUUCUUCAUUUCUCUUACAGCAUUUUUUAUCUCCAGCAUUUAUUUUGGUUCUUCCUUAGAAUUUCCAUCUCUCUGCUCACAUAGCCCAACUGUUCUCACAUGCUGUCUCUUUGUCCAUUAGAGCCCUUAGCAUAUUAAUUAUAGUUGUGUUAAAUUUACUGGCUGAUAAUUCCAACAUUCCUGCCAUCUCUGGUUCUGAUGCCUUCUCUGCCUUUUCAAACUGUGGGGUUUUUUUGCCUUUUGGUUUGCUUUAUAAUUUUUCCUUGAAAGCCAAACAUGAUGUACUGGGUAAAAGGAACUGCUGUAAACAGAUCUUUAGGGUGUGGAAGGAGAAGCAUUCUAUAGUCCUAUGAUUAGGUCUCAGAUUUUUAGGGAGCCCAAACCUCUGACUGUGAACUUCACAAGCGUUUUUCAGUAUUUUUUUCUCCCCACUUAGGUGGGACAGGAUGGCUUGAGUGGGCUGGAUUUGGUAUUUCCCUUCUUUGUGGUAGGCUAGAGCUGGCUAGAGUUGGGUAUUUCCCUUCCCCAGGUCAGUUAGGCUCUGAUAAUACCCCAGCAGGUUGGGCUCUAGUUAACCAGUUUCCCCUGAUGUCAGGCCUUGCUAGAAAGGAUAGAGUGCUCUGGUGUAUGUAUUUCAAAAUGGUUCCUUUGCCCCUACCCCCUGCUGAAAGCAGGAAAGGAUUUUCUCUGAUAUCUACUGUGGGACACUGGUUGAGCUCCUGAAGGUAAAUCUAACAAUUUUGUGGGCUCCCCAUGUUGACUGGUUUCCCCUGGGGUUUUUAAUUCUCAGGCUUAUCCACACUGAGCCUCUAGCAGUCAGACAAUUAUAGUUCCGGCUUUCCUACCCAGGUGCUGGUUCCCGAGGCCGUUGGUGCUGUGAAUCUGCUCGUCAGCCACAAUGCCCUUGCCUGUCUGUCUCUCCAAUCUUGGGGGUAGUGGUUUGCCCUGUGCCCUCUUCUCUCUUAUGAACUCAAGAAGAGUUGUUGAUUUCUCAGUCUGUUCCACUUUUUUCUUGUUGUUAGACUGGCAUGACAAUUUCCAAGGUCCUUACAUGCAGAAUUGGAAACCCAGUCUCCACUUGUUUUCAUUUUCCCUUUUGUUUUUUUAAUCAAAACUACAACUAGAUUUGAUUAGGAUUGAUCAGUAGAUUCAAGUAUUGUCAGUCGCAGUAGGCAGAAUUCUAAAGAUGCCCACUCAACUUCCUAGCCUCGGUUAUUCAGUAAAACACUAAUUUUGGUACAGCUGUGAAGGGACUUUUCAGAUCUGAUAACGAUAAAGAGAUUGUAUUGGAUUAUAUGAGUGAACCCAAAUUAAUCACCUGAGCCCUUAAAAGCCGAGAAGUUUCUCAGGCUAUUGUCAGAGAGAAGAGGUAGCAGGAGGGAUGAGACAGAAGAGGAAGUCAGAGAUAGACACGAGAAGAACUAGAACUGUUGUUGACUAUGAAGAUGGAGGAAGGGGAUCAGGAGCUAAGGAAUAUGUGGCCUUCGAAGCUGAGAAUGACCCAUAGCCAAAAGCCAGCAAGUAAAUGGGACCACAGUACUACAACCACAUAGAACUGAGUUCGGCUAAGAAACUUGGAAGUAGAGAUAUCCCCAGAACCUGCAGAAAGAAAUGCAGGCCUGCUGACAGCUUGGUUUCUGUCCAUGUGACAUCUAGGUAUAAAACAUGUUCUGCCAGGCAGAUACCAAGGAAACUCAGGAAUCUUGAGUCCCACAUACCCACUGCCUUCUCCCAAAUCACCAAUCUUCCUUGCAGAGAAGCGAAGGAGGAUCUUGAAAGAGGCCAGCGCUUCUGUCUAGCUCAGAUGCUUCCAAAAAUAAACAGGAGCUGGCCGCAUUCCCAUGGGGUUUCUGGCCUGGGGCUAGAAUUGAUUAUCAGACAUGAAAGGGGCUGGCCCCGUGGCCGAGUGGUUAAGUUCACGCGCUCCGCUGCAGGCAGCCCAGUGUUUCGUUGGUUCAAAUCCUGGGCGCAGACAUGGCACUGCUCAUCAAACCACGCUGAGGCAGCGUCCCACAUGCCACAACUGGAAGGACCCACAGCGAAGAAUAUACAACUAUGUACUGGGGGGCUUUGGGGAGAAAAAGGAAAAAAUAAAAUCUUUAAAAAAAAAUAGACAUGAAAAUUUAUUUUAUAUUUUUAUACAUUGGUCUUCUAUUUUUAUUUUAUGUCCAUUAGUCGUAAGAAACAUGAGCUAGUGAAAUAUAGUAGAAACUUAAAUGUUUGUUGAUUGAAUAAAUGAACCAGAAUUUUAAUAAAUAUUUGUUGGCAG
rnacentral:lncRNA from 1 species